CAGCCGCCGCGGUAAUACGAAGGGGGCUAGCGUUGCUCGGAAUGACUGGGCGUAAAGGGCGCGUAGGCGGUUUAUACAGUCAAAUGUGAAAUUCCUGGGCUCAACCUGGGGACUGCAUUUGAUACGUAUGGACUUGAGUGGAGAAGAGGGUCGUGGAAUUUCCAGUGUAGAGGUGAAAUUCGUAGAUAUUGGGAAGAACACCGGUGGCGAAGGCGGCAACCUGGUCCUUGACUGACGCUGAGGCGCGAAAGCGUGGGGAGCAAACAGGAUUAGAUACCCCGGUAGUCCCUGUCUCUUAUAC
rnacentral:rRNA from 1 species